rnacentral:rRNA from 1 species
UUUCCGUAGGUGAGCCUGCGGAAGGAUCAUUACUGAUCUUGCGGACCGAGCGUCAGCGAGGUUCCGCGAUCACCUGUAUUUAAAACCCACACUUUUGAAUUAUAUGUAUAUUUUUGUAUUUUUGAUAAAAAAAAGAUCACUUUCAACAACGGAUCUCUUGGCUCUCGCAUCGAUGAAGAACGUAGCGAAGUGCGAUAAGUAAUGUGAAUUGCAGAAUUCCGUGAAUCAUCGAAUCUUUGAACGCAGAUUGCACUCUCUGGUAUUCCGGAGAGUAUGCCUGUUUGAGGGUCAGUUAAAUAAAAAUCGAUGUUGUUGCCAUCUUGCGUGGUGACGCAUCGGAUGUGGGUCGUCUUACCUUCGGUUAAGUGACCUAAAAUUUUGCAUGAUUUUUUCGAACGUAUUUAAAUUAUUUACGUGCGUUUGUGAUAAUCGAACAUUAGACGUGAUCAUUCUCAUGAUUCGCGCCUAUGAUUUCUCAUCAAAAUGACCUCAAAUCAGGUAAGAGUACCCGCUGAACUUAA